CGCAUCGAUCAAUCCGAGAAACGAUGGCCAUUCGAAUUGUGUCGUGGAACAUUAGCCGGCUUAUCAUUUUAUUUGGGAAACGCGAUAUCACGGCAAUCACGAUCGGGAAGCCUUCUUAUCGCCACAAGUACGAUUAAUAAUUGAUCCCUGCUUGAAAUUCAAUGUAUGCAACCAACUAGAUAACAAAAUAAAACAAACGUGUCACUCAAGAUGUUCCAACAUCUGCGAAGAAGAGAAGAGAUAAAAGCAUCAAAAGAUAAAUCGCGUGUAAAAAACAGAUAUAUGUUGUCGCAAAAUCCUAUGAUGGUACACUUUGUUUCUGUACAAUUUGGGAAGUAACCGAUGUCUAACAAAAAAACUUAAUUUCAUGCAAAACUACACGUCGAAAUAAAGUGUCUAAGCUGUAUUGAAACGCACUCGUGUGAGAUCGCAGCCGAAGAGUACGCUCAUUUGUUGCAACAAUGACAUAAUUAAAAAAUCGCCCUUACUAAGUUAUUAGUACGAGAAAAAGGGUUGGUACAUGUACUAUUUAUAGCUAAAACGACGAUUACUUUACUAAAUUAUGUUAAUAUGGUAUUUUAAAAUUUUCAUACAAAGUUAUAGCAAUUCAAAAUAUUAAUCGUGUCUCCUGAAAAAUCAUAUUUUUUUAGUUAUGCCAUUGUUCCAGCAAAUGAGCGAUAUGUACAUGUUCAUACGUGUGCGUUUUCAAAUUUCGGAAAACAGAACGGAUAAAUAAGGUAUUCUUCGACCAUAUAUGUCCGGAAUGAGAAGCAAAGAGAAAAUAAAAGAGAAAAACAAUCGUGAAUCAUUAUUGUUCUCGAA